rnacentral:rRNA from 1 species
GUGCCAGCAGCCGCGGUAAUACGUAGGGGGCAAGCGUUGUCCGGAAUUAUUGGGCGUAAAGCGCGUGUAGGCGGCCAGAUAAGUCCGCUGUGAAAUCUCGAGGCUCAACUUCGAGCUGUCGGUGGAAACUGUCUGGCUAGAGUCCGGAAGAGGAGAAUGGAAUUCCUGGUGUAGCGGUGAAAUGCGCAGAUAUCAGGAAGAACACCCGUGGCGAAGGCGGUUCUCUGGGACGGUACUGACGCUGAGACGCGAAAGCGUGGGGAGCGAACAGGAUUAGAAACCCCCGUAGUCC